ensembl:lncRNA
CCUUUUUCAAGGCUUCGCCCCUAGAGCAGUGGGACUCUGGUAUGGACCGGUUUCCUGUGAGAUCUUGCUCCGUCUCACAAGAUCCUAUGCAGGCCUGUAUCUGGAACAGCUUGUCAUCGAUCUCGCCCUCUAUCGCUCAGCGACCUAGGAGGCCCCAGGACUGCAGUCUGCGGGUUAUCCCAUUUUACAGGUCGAGACUCAAGAUAUCAGUAAUUUGCUAAGACCAAACGUCAGUUACCUGUUUAAAAAAUUGAUUCUCACCCCUGACCACACCUCUGAGGAUUCGGACCUUCUGGAAGAUGAACAGUUCAUAUUUGACCAAGAUCACAUAAAUAGGAGUUGGGGGAUUGGAACCUACUAUGACCGACUUCAAAUUAAUGCAGUUUGUAGUCACUUAUAUAAUAAUGGUAAAGGCAUUUUUUGCUAUACAGAGUGGGUAAACUCACUGAGGGAAUAAAGCAACAUAUGACACACAUGAGGCAACAUGACAGGGAAGAUCAGCAGAGGAAACAAGUAGCAGAAAAGCAAGGAAAAUUACAUUUCCCAUUUCCAAAGUAAAUUUAAAAAGAAUGAAAAGUAGGGCCAGGGAUUUAGCUCAGUGGUGCCACCGCCUGCCUUGAAAGCCCAUGGUCUUGAGUUCGAUCCCCAGUACAAAAAAAAAUGAAAAAUAAAAGCAAAAAUUGCCUGGGAUUUAGCUCAGCGGUGCCACAUCUGCCUGGCAAGCACAAGGUCCUGAGUUCCAUUCCCAGUACCCCCCAAAAAGCAAAAAUUAAUGAAAUAGCCAAUAAAAUUGAUCAUAAUAAUAUCUGGUAUUUGAAAAGAACAAUAGACACUUUGCAAAUCCAAGGAAGUAGAGAAAAAAUAUUGGAAACAGCUGGGUGUAGUGGCCCACACCUGUAACCCCAGCACUUGUGAGGCUGAGGCAGGAGGAUCACUGUGAGUUCAAGCUCAGCUUGGGCUGGUGAGUUCAAGCCCAGACUGGACUACAUAGUGAGACCCUGUCUCAAACUCCUCCCCCACUUAGAAACAAAGGAAGCAUACUACAUAUGAGGAGACUUAGUAAAUCAAAAAUGAAUUAUGGGGCUGGGGAUUUAGCUCAGUGGUUCCACCGCCUCCUUUGCAAGACCAAGGUUCCGAGUUCAAUCCCUAGUCCAAAAAAAAAAAAAAAAUGAAUUAUGUAGCCUUUACUAAUAAUCUUGAAAAUUGACUUGAAAAAUUUCUAGAAAAAUAUAAAUUUCAAAACUUGGCUCAAGAGUUAGAAAAUCUUGAACUGAUAGACAUGAAAGCAUGUCCUAAAGUAGGGUAUCAUCAAAAGUCACCAGGAACAAAGCAUAAAGAAGGAUAGAGUGUUUCCUAACUCUACCUUUGUCAAAAUUUUAAAUAAACCUGUAAACCUGCAAGUGUCUGGUUGUAAAGGCUUCAAAAUAAUGUGCAAGGCCAGGGAUUUAGCUCAGUGGUUCCUCUGCCUGCCUUGCAAACGCAAGGACCCAAGUUCAAUCCCUGGUACCAACAAAAAGCAAAAUAAUGUGCAGAUAUAUGUAAUAUGAUAGUCAUGAUAACUUUGCAAUUUUUUAAAAUCUUGACUUCAUUAGUAAAAGGAUUGCUAAGUAAGAUUACAUUUACAAUACAAAAUAUUACAUACUGGUAGAAAUACAAUUCUGCAGGCAUUAAUAUGGAAAAAUUAAAAAAGAGUAUAGACAGUGAAAAUUAUACAAGAUACUACAUAUGUGACUUAAUUUUUAACAAUUAUCUUGUAAAAGAAUAAGUUUGGAGAGGAUCUAUACCAAAUUGUUAACUGUUGGUUAUAGAGCGAGAGGAUGUGAAAGAUGUUUUUUAUAUUUGUAUUGUUUAUUUUUUUAUUUUUCUUUAAUUUUUACUAAGUAAAAAUGUAGAAAGAAAC